AAUAUUUGACUCUGUGGGCAACCCUGAUCCCGCCAUGUCGCGUGUGUGAAGAAGGUCUUCGGAUUGUAAAACACUUUAAGUGUGGAGGAGGAGCUUUAUGCUAAUACAGUCCAGUUAUGACGUUACCAACAGAAUAAGCACCGACUUACGCUGUACCAGCAGCCGCGGUAAUACAGAGGGUGCAAGCGUUAAUCGGAAUUACUGGGCGUAAAGCGCGCGUAGGUGGUUCAGUAAGAUGGGUGUGAAAUCCCCGGGCUUAACCUGGGAACUGCUUUCAUAACUGCUGAGCUAGAGUACGGUAGAGGGUAGUGGAAUGUCCUGUGUAGCGGUGAAAUGCGUAGAUAUAGGAAGGAACACCAGUGGCGAAGGCGACUACCUGGACUGAUACUGACACUGAGGUGCGAAAGCGUGGGGAGCAAAC
rnacentral:rRNA from 1 species